UACAGAGGUCUCAAGCGUUGUUCGGAAUUACUGGGCGUAAAGGGCGCGUAGGCGGCCUGCUAAGUCGAACGUGAAAUCCCUGGGCUCAACCCAGGAACUGCGUCCGAUACUGGUUGGCUUGAGUCCGGAAGAGGAGAGUGGAAUUCCCGGUGUAGCGGUGAAAUGCGCAGAUAUCGGGAAGAACACCUAUGGCGAAGGCAGCUCUCUGGGACGGUACUGACGCUGAGACGCGAAAGCGUGGGGAGCGAACAGG
rnacentral:rRNA from 1 species